GGGGGGCGACGUUUCGGGCAAAUGGCCCUUCAACGAACGCGUGUUGUGGACGAUCGUGUUGCUGUUUGUGUUUUUAUGCCCCGCUGUGUACCACCACCACCACCAGCACCACCACCACCAGGUAAUACCCACUGAGCUAUAUAGCUCCUGGCUAUCACAAAUGAUAGCUCAAUGAAGUGGCUUAUCACGUGGACAUUUCAUCGCAGCCAAAUACUCAAAACGCACGAUUCUAAAUGUGGAGGGAAAAACCGGAGGACGCGGAAAAAAAAGAAUCACACCACCACGGGGAGAGAGAGACACGCAAACUACAAAUAUACAGCAGGCGUCAGGGUCGGGAUUGAACACACGACCUCCUGUAUACCAGACGCUCAGGUGUGUGCUACUGGCGGCAGGUGUCGUGGAAAGCCUCGAGGGUGCGGAAAUCUCUCCACGUUGGCGGAAGCCCAUCCUGCAGCUGCUUGCCGCAGCGUUGACACGUGCUUUGGAACAAAGAAAUGUAGCUGUGCAUCCACAUCUGCAAGAAACAGGAUACAGGUCAAAGGUUAUCUAAGUGAGCAGGUCAGGAAGUUGGCGAUGACGAAGACGUUUAAGUCCCUGCUGAAGACCCCCACCACCUGUUUAACACCGCCCCCCCUCUCUCUCCUCUAGAUCAUAUCUCGUCUCUUUAGUCUUUCUCGCCCCGGUUACAUCUCAC